UAUAGGUGCCAAGUGGGAUUUCAUAGGUGCAGAGUGGGGAUUUCAUAGGUGCGGAGGGCCGAGGUGUGAUGGUGGGAGCUGCUGCUGAGGGAGCAGCGCGUGGCCGGACGUGGCCUCAGUGAGGCCGGCCGGGCAUGAGGGCCGGCCUGACACUCCCCUCUCUGGCAAAACGUCCGGCUGGGCCUGGGUGGAUCAAAACCCAAGAAACAAACCAAAAGCAAGCCCGGGCUGAAAGGCACACAAAGCUCGUGCCCAGAGCGCGAGCCCCCAUCCCUCAUCCACGCCUCACGGAACAUUUGCUGGGAGCAGUGCAAGGGAAAUGCCGGAGGGGCCGUCAAUACUGCCGGCCCUGUUUACCAACCAGGGCACGCUCCCUCGGCUGGGCCACACCGCCCCUCCUCGCCGGUGACCAGCUUUGCCUCAGACCCACCUCAGAGCUCUGUUUUUUUUGGCGGGGCCUGCGACCCCGGGCAACCCAGCCCGGUGUUUGAGCCUUGCCCAGCGCAUUGCAGAACGGAGAACACACGGGUUUUUGUUUCAAAGAUAUUGCUUAAAAUAACUCCAUCUCUAGAAAGUUGAAGUUGGACACCACCCCCUUCCAUCUCUUUCACCUCACUCUCCCCUCUUUGCACAGCUGGGGCUCCCAUAGGGACCUAAAGACAGCUGUGCCAUGAGGAUCUGGUUAUCAUUGCUUAUUCCCACCCCCACCAAAUAAAAAGAAAAAAAAAAGUAUUUCUUUCCCUGGGCAGCUGCACAACAGCAAGUGUCUGUGAGAAGAAGGGGGAAAGUAAAGCAUUGGCUGAAAAACAUCCCCUGCUCCCUUUCCACCCCCUCCCCCCGUCAUCCUGUGCUCUCUUCAAACACGUUUUUAAACAUACCAGUUUUGGUCUGGUUUCCUGGAUGGCACAUCUUCGUGUCUAGCUGGGCUCCAUCCAUUUCCUCAUGAGACAGGGUAGAACCAGGGUGACAAGAUUGAUGAAACGUCUUGAACGAGGGGAAUGGGUGAGGAAACUCUCCCAGGAAAUCAGUGGAAAUAGGGCAAAGGAGUACUUUUAUUGAAAGGCAUUGAGCAAAUCUGUUUCAGGAAAGAAAAGGUAAUUUAUAUUCUAGAGACAUAAUUUGGCAUUUCCUCUUGUUUGUCCUACCAAAAUGAUGAACUGACUAGUUUCAUUUUAUUUUAUUUAUUUUUUAUUUUAAAUUCAGUACCUGAAUUUGCCCAUGUUUCAUUUUCUUUUGCGGUUUCGAGGUGGGUGAGUUAAAAUGCCUGCCUCACCUAGAGUUCAGAAGCAACCAAGUUACUUCCACUUCUGGAGGGUCCUAUAUUUUAUUCCAAAUUGGCACAAGAUCUGUUCAGUUAUUCUUAGCCUUCCUGACACCUUUUUGCUUUUGUUACAUUAAUGCAUGGAUGUGAAGAGGGAAGGGAUUCUGGCUUCUGGAUCCUGUUCCACUGAGCUGCUAAUUCACAUUAGGAAAGGUCAAGUCUAAUAGAGCACUGCCUUAUGCUGAGGCCAAGAGGAAAAGCAGUUCAUUUGAAAACUCACUUUCCAGGUGUAUUAACCCCUUCAAGUGCCAUUAGGCUACGUAUCUGUCACAGCAGCAGCUCUUUUAUGGAGGAGCCCAGAUAAACUGGCUUAUUUCUCAGCUUUCAACUCCAAUUCUCUCUAGCUCAGAUCAACUCCCUGCUACGUUCCUACUGCUGCUUAAUCUCACCUUGUAUCAGGCUGUUGCCUGCCAGGACUAAAGACUCCCCUCCCUACUAGGGUGUGGAGUCUGUACAUGUCUGUUUAUUUAUCAGGACACUCUAUGCAGAGUGAAAAAAGGCAGCAGAACCAACUAAACAGGAUCACUUUUUUUUUUUUUUUUUUUUUUUUUUUUUUUUUUUUUUUUUUUUUUUUUUUUUUUAUAGGCAAAUGCAAAGGUACCUUCAUGGGUGCAAUUGGAAGAGUUUUGCUUCUUGGAGAAAGCUGGAAGGGUGAGGUAAUACCAAACAUAGGGGAGUUGAUCUUUGCUACUUGUAAUCCAGCUGUGAAAUAAAGGACCUGAGUAGCCUAGAGGUGCUGGCUUCUGCUUGACACCCUACAUAUGUGAUUGUAAAAUAUGAUGACAAAGAGAGGAAGGCUGGAUGGCUGCUCAGAAGGUGCUUAGGGAAAUAGAAACAAAGUUCAUCAGCUGACCGACAGAAAUACAUCUGUUUAUCUUGAGCAGAAGUAAGAGGUAUGAGCAGUGAAAGAAAAUUUGCUUUUGUUGAAGAAGAGAAAUACAGAUCAUGGUAUUUGGCCAUAACACAAAACCUGAAGCUGAUUUAACACUUAAAGAAAACAGAACUCUGGGCUCAGCCUCAAGAGAAAGAACAAACAAUUUACUUUUCAGUCUCUCUCAGUUCAGACCGAGUUAAGAAAUGCUUUUCUGUGACAGGGACAGUGCAUGAUCAACAAAACAAAGCAAAACUACCACUCUGGGAUUGUGGGUGGUUCUGCACAGAGCUUGGUACUGACCUGACCUCUGUAAGGGGAGAGCCCCAGGCAGUCUAGUGAAUGUAGAUGCACAGCCAGCAUUGGAUCGCAGUGCCCAAAUGAACUUGUUAAAAUACAAAAAGACUGCAAAAGGAAAUGAAAACAAAACAAGAGAGAUAUCCCAGCUGUGUGUAUUCUACUCUUUCAGGAUGUCUACUUCUACAGGGAACCUUUCUCCUUAACCUCAAAACAGUUCAUUUUCAAAUCUUUUUUUUCGAAGAGGAGCUACUUUAGUGGUGGGUUUUUCUUCUAAACAUACGGUCUUUAGUUUAUGUCUUGCAGUGAGACUACAUGUGCGAUUUUUAAAUAUAUAUUUCUAUGCACAUGGGAACGUAACGAUUCCUGAAUCAUUUAAUGGAAGCUGUGUAUGAUGACCUUUGCAAAGCUUCUCUGGACAGUGGCAAUCUCAAAACCUAGAGCUAGCACUUGCAUUGGCACAAUACACCAGAUGUCACUUUCCUCACAAAUAAGGACCAGUGAGAAGCCACACUGACCAGGUGACACAGUGGGAAGCAGCGGUGACAUUUGCUGGAGAGGAAAGGCAUGGAUCCUGAGUUGGUGGCACACGGUGCUCCUGGUCAGCACUGCCCUUUUCCAGGCACUCUGAUGCCCCACGAGGCUGGCAGGCACCCUCCCUCCAGGAGGGGAACUCCCUCAGUGUUGGCUGGGAGAAGAAAUUCAGGUCUUUGCCCUGUGUCCUUCGAGAAAACAAGAAUCUCUCAGUUUGCGUUUAUGAGAAGAUUUCACAUUUGAUUCCAGCUGGAGGGAAACAGAGAAAAAACACACCCUUUCCUUAGCCAGGCUGGAGGUUGUCUGCACACACAGACUGGGACUGUAGGUUAUUCCACAAUGGUUUGAGUAUGCCCCACUUCCCAGCCCUGCCAAGAAAGUCUUGAUCCCAGGGGAAAGCAGCACAUCCUUGGGUGUGAAGGCCUCAGAGGUGGGCAAAACAUGAGGAGGGGCUGAGACAGGCUUUGUGCCACUUCAUUUGGCACAGCUGAUGACAAGGUUCCCCUUUGGCUUGCCAGGAGGGGCUGCUGCCUGCAGAGCACCUUCAGUGUGUGGCCCAGCUGUGAGAAUGUUGGGAAAGCCUGCUCGGGGCUUUCGUCGCCGGUUAUUGGCUUCAUGAAGGCCAAGGCAUUUUUGCGCAGAAUCAGAAAUCCUAGAAAGAGUCCCAAAGCACAAAGUUGUUCAAAAUCUGAACUAUUUCUGAGGGAAGAGGCUGAGUGUAGGCUGUUAUGGAUGGAGGAUGCCAAGUCUGGACCCAGACACAGAUUUCAUGAGAAAAGCUCACAUGUGAGAGUGCAAUCCCUUCCCCAAAGGAAAUAAGGGUGAGAUAUGCAGUUCAAAUUUUGCCACACCUUUUGUGUUUAUAAAUGUGAAGCUCCAGGUGAGACAUCUCUGCUUAAAUCAACCAGGGACUCCCCAGGUGCAGGCAUAGGACAAGAGCCAGCAGUCCAGCUGGCCUUGCAGCCCUCUCCAGCUUUGAAGGACAGGAUCUGCUUUGGAGAGGAGUGGGAACUCAGAUGGGAAGAAGAUGGGAACCAAAGUGAGCACAAACUGUGCAGGAGUGGGAGAAAGCGGGAGGAUUGAACAGAUGCCCAGUUCUCACUAGCUGUCUUUAACAUGCUGCUGUGAGUAAAACACCUGAAUAAUGACAUUUUGUGUCACCUCUGUCCUGCUCACCUUUCUGCUGCUCAAGAAGGGAGCAUCUGUUACAGCAUCUGGUCUGCACUAGUGGGUGUGGUAAAUGGUUUCAUGUAGCACCAGCUGUGGGCUCCAGCAGGAUUAUGUUUAAACACCUCUGUGCUGUUUUCUUUACCUUCUAUUGUUGUCCCACAUCCCGCCAGUAAGGCCAGGAGGAGGGCAGGACAAUGAGAUGCAGAGCAUUAACGAUCCUGAUAAGAACCAAUGCUGGAUGCAAUUCCCAUUUCUCAUUACUAUGCUACUGUAGCUAUGGUUUGGCUGUCCUCCUGGCCUUGGCAAACACGAUCCACUUCAUCUCCUGCUUCUCCUGUUGGCCGGGCUCCCAUCCUCCUCUUGGCUCCUGCAGCCAAACUCCUGGCUGGCUGCAGUAAUCCCACAUAAUAUUUCACGCAAAUUUAUAUGAAGCCCGUUACAAAGCUCAGCAAGGAGACACUGUUUCUUUUUCUUGAUACAAUUAAUCACUUGUAGCUCUGCUCCAAAGACCAGCCUGUCUCCUGUGUAACUGCUCCUUUCCGUCAACUGGGCUGAGAAAGUGCAGUACCACCAAGGGCAGGGAGAAGCCCGUCUCUCGAUCCCUUUCCCACAAAAUCCCAGGAAAUCUCCAAGCCAUUGGCUUCCCGAGACUGAGACAGCCUACAAAGGGAAAGAUCACACCUAGAAGAAAUAGACACCUGUUUCUUAUGGUUUUUUUGUGUUAGAUGGAAAAUUGCAAUGACAAGCUGUGGCACCUGCAUUCCUGCCUGAAGCCUGCCUGAGAGCACCUUCAAAGGUGAAUCACAAGAGGCCUGCUCUUCCCAGAAGAUUUUCAAAGAUAUUUUUAGGAUGUUUGAGGUUUUUUCUUCUUGUGUGGUAAAGGGAGAGAUAGCAUUGCCACAAGAAUCUGUUGAUCUCUCAGCUGGAAAGGAGCAGUAAUUGUCUUUGAACACCGAGGCUGGGGCUCCUAAUUCCUGGGGGUUGAACGCUGCCAGAUGUGCUUGACCUGGACGAUGCACAGGGAACUGAGGAGGGGCUCCUGAACGUAAACCUGCCAGUACAGUGUGAGAGGAAGUAGUUAGCCCAGCCUCUAUUUUUGAGCCAACUGUGUGUGAUUUCAGGGCUACCCAGAGAUUUAGCUUAAGUGCUGUCUUCCGUACAUCAAAGCUGUGAAUCCGGGCUGGAUGAUAGAGAGAGCCAUGGUCUGAAAUAUGAUCCAGCAUCCCCUUCAGACAUGCCAGGAGGCCCAUCUAUUUACUUAACAUUUUUAUGAAAGCAGUUGGGAGGAAGAGCUUCUAUUUGGCUGGAGAGAUUUAUUUAUUUAAUUGCUCAUAUUUAUAAAAAUAAGUACAAAAGAAAUGAAAAAAUGCCACUCUUCUGGUGACAGAAGUUACCAAAACAGUCUUUCAAAGAUCACUGGCAACACCAAAAAUUCCCUGCAAAACAUAACCCACCACUAUUUGUUUCUGCUGAGUUACCUUUACAAAUUUGCCCUUUCUGCUUCUUUUGCCCUGAGGUCAUAAUAUUCUUUUUCCCAAGACAAAAGCUAAGCUUAAUCAGGCUUCCAGGAUGCUCAUCAGCAGAAUCCUGGGGAAGACUGGAAGCAGGAAUAUGCAGGACCUCCCCAGGCUGAGGACAGUGAGGAGAGCACCCUGGAAAGCUGAUGUGCUUUCAGAGGCUCUAUCUGAUGUCAAGUUGUUUGAUGGUGAGGCACCAUGGCAGUUCAGAGGAUGGAGGGGAGUUUCAGGGGACAGUGGCUGCAGAAAGAGCACCUGGCAGGACUUUUAAAUAGAAAGCACAUUCUAGAGCAGCACAUCACCAGCUACAGUACUGUACUUUUGCUUUUUCAGUAUUCUGGGAGCCACAGGCUCUGUUUGUGAAUCUUGAGUGUUUCAUAUCGUGCUGUAAUGAUUUAAUAUCCCAUCUGUCUAUGGACACUGACAGAAAAUUCCCCUGGGCAUAAGCUCUGGCAAUUUGAGAGGUUAUUUCUCCCACAGAUGACCCAUCCCAACACAGGGCACUGCUGCUCUGUGGCAGAGAUAAAAGAACGAGCUACAAGUUGCCUCGCAUCCUCUCCACCGAUAAUCUAUUGCACCCAGGAGAAGGAAAGCUUGAAUUAAUUGGCCCCUAAAAUGAACAGCCUGAGCCAGAGACAUAUGUCCUGUCCCACCACUCCCUCUGCUUGGCAGCCAAUCCUGCCAGAUGGCCCUGGCCUGGGAAAGCCACGAUGCACGAGAGGCUGUGCCUUGGGUAUCCAAGCAGAGGCAGCUGGCUGCUGUGCCGAGGACCCCACGACAGCCACAGAGCCCUAAUGGAACAACACGCUUCUCUCCACACCAGCACUGCUUUGAAGAGCUUUUUGGGAAAACCAGACAAGGUUAUUGCCAUGUUUCCAGUAAGAAAAAGAGUUCACAUUUGUUGAGAUGUUAAAGGAUUUUGGCCAGAAAUGAGCCUGUAGUUAUUUGCACAAUUUUACUUGUACGGACACCCAGGUACAGAUGCUUUCAUGGAAACUCUGGCUACAUAACUGUAUUAAUUUUGUCUGAGUCCACAGACUAUUUUUGGGAGCUUUCAGAAACUUACAGGAAGUAUUUUUCAUUUUCAUUUAUGUAUAUAUUUGUUGUUAUUUUUAUAUAAUAAACA